rnacentral:lncRNA from 1 species
UUUUUUUUUUUUUUUUGUAAAGAAUCAAAGAAAUCCCACAUGGAGAUGACAAGGCACAGCCAUAGUGAGCCCUCACCCUCUUACUUCCUUGCUUAAUUACAUUUCCUCUCUAGAUUGACAGUAUAACUAUGGAGCAAGUCAUCUAAACUGAGAGGCUCAGUGUUAUUUUUAAUUUUUUUUUUUAUUUUUUGCUUUUUUUUAGGGCUGCACCCAUGGCAUAUGGAAGUUCCCAGGCUAGGGGUCGAACAGGAGCUACGGCUGCCAGGCCUACACCACAGCCACAUGAUCUGAGCCAUGUGUGCGACCUACACUGCAGCUCAAGGCAACAUCAGAUCCUAACCCACUGACUGAAGCCAAGGAUUGAACCCACAUCCUCAUGAAUACUAGUUGUGUUCAUCACUGCUGAGCCAAAAGAGGAACUCCCAGCAUCAUUUUUAAAAAUUCACCCCUUUCAAGUUUUCCAUCCAGUUAGUCCCCAAGUUGAUCAGCUCUACUCCUGAGAUCUUCAUGGAGGCCAUCUGCUCCAUUAGGCCUUUAUAUCUGAUGGCUACUUUAUCUAGAUUGUUCUUCCCCUUCUAUUCCUCUGUGGGAGAGAGGGUGAUGUCUCCUAAUUUCAGAAUGUCACAAAGACUUUGAUCAGUUAGUGCUACAUGGGCUUCCUGCAGGUACAAGACAGCUGAGAGACACGCUAUGCUGUCAAAAGUCUACACACCUGGCUCAUGCUCUAGGGCAGAGCUCCUUCUGCACAUGGAUCCUGGCUCCAGGAAUUAGGGCGGCCUUUUAACUCAAGUUCUGGAUGGAGUCCUGAAGAUGUAGGAUGACUCUAUACAUUGUUAAUGUAUAUAGUCAAUACCUGUCCCUGCCUUCUUUUGAGGCUCUUAAGACCUGUACGAAACAAGCCGUUUGCCAGCUCACCCCUGGGCCCUACCCCUUAGGAAGGAGAAACGAAUCACUCCUUCCACAGGUAUGUUAGUUCACUGUUUCGAUUUGACUGAAAGGAGUUUCCUUUGAGUGUCUUCUAACAAAGGGAACCAAGAGACAAAGAGUAUCUAUGCUAAUUAGAAAUGUAGAAGCAAAGAAAAAAAUCAAGAGGUAUGUUCCAAGAAAAUAAAAUUCUUUCAAAGUAUUAAAACAUCAUGUUUUUAAGAAUGAAACGUUUUAAAUGAUUUCUCUUAAGGCAUAGCUACUCCAUUUCUUUACCCUUGUUCUUCCAAAUGGUUUCUAAAAGCUAAACUUGUUAGAAACCAAUGAACAUUUGUAAAAUAAGUGAUUUUCAGAAACCAAUACAUCUAUUAUAAAUGAUGGUCCUAGAUAUUACAGUACAAUUACACAAAACAUAAAACGGUGACUGAAAAAACCGAAGAAUUUCAUUGCCUUGUUCUUGUGCUGACAAUUCCUAGAACCAAGUUCUGAAGGCUUGUGUGUCAAUUUUUCAGACCCCAACUGUAUACCAGCGGUGAUAAACUUAGAACCAGCAGGAAAAGAAAUGCAGCACGCACAGACCCCAGAGACUGGUCCAUCAUAUGUAGUCCAGGAAAUCUGUCCUCAACAAGAUUAAACACACUUUGGACCUUGUAACAAUGGUUAAGAGAUUUAUUCAGACAUUUGCCAAACACAAGACAGUCUUGUGAGGUUAUAAGAAAGUGCUCUGGGAUUUGGGCAGAAUCCUGGGUCCCUCCAUGACACAUGACAAGGAGGCUUUUCUGUGACACAAGUUACCUACCACUUUAUUGUUCCUUCUUCUUUUUUAAGUUCAUCUAUAACGGGAAAGCUGAUGCUAAAGAAAGAAAUUAGCCCCCUAUGAGAGGGUAGAGUAGUUGCAGUUAAUCAUAAAAUUAGAGCUAGAAAAAUAGUCAGAUUGUCUAGGAAAUAGGGUUCCUUUUCUGAAGAUAAAGACAAUGAGGAACUGUUUGAUAUUGUAUGUUCAAUAAACACAAUAAUUGACAUUGACGGAGCACCUAAAUUGUGCCAGGUUUAUGUAGGGUUAGGCAACCCUUAUCUCAUUAUAACAAUUCUAAAAAAUAAUCACUGUUGUGAUGUAUAUCUAUAGAUGAAAAUUUUAAACCAGAGAGGUUAAGUAAUUUAUUCAAAGUUAAACUGCUAACGGGGGUAAAGAGCCCUGUUACUGCCACAAUAAGUGCACUGUCCUUCCGUGUGAUAUUGAUAGAUUUAACUAGUCAAAUUUUGUCUGUUCUCAUGAACUGGAAAAACAAAGCAAAACCCUGUUGUUAACAGCUUUAAGGUAACUAUCAAAUUAUACUUCCUCUCUUCUGAGCAUAAAACUGUAAGUGAGGAGGAUGCUGGGACAGACACAUAAAUCCUCUGCUUUAGCUCCUCUCUUUAGUACCUAGAUAACACAUUUCCUGGGUUGUUUUACAGAUGCUAAUCACCACCCCUACCCCCACCAAUGGAAAACAUUAACUCUUUGAAGACCAGGAGCAUGAGCAUGUAGCCCCCCAAGCAUACCAGAGCCUAAGAAUUGAUAAUGUUAACUCCUGUGACAUCAUUCUGUCACCAUCAACAAAUCAGAGAAUCAUGUACAAGUUGAUCACCUACCUUGCGAUACCCCUCCUUCACCUGGUCUUUAAAAAUGCUUUGCUGAAACCCUUCAGGGGGUUUGAGUUUUGAACACUAGCAGUCCUGCACUCCUUGCUUGGCACACUCUGCAAUAAACACUGCACUUUUCUUCACCACAACCCUAUGUCAGUAGAUCAGUUGUACUGUGUGCAGGUAAGUGGACCAUAAUGUAACAAAACGAAUGAUUUAAUUAAUCCAAAUAAGGAGAUUACACUGUGAAAAAUAUACCGUAAGAAUAGAGGAAAGGAGGAGAAUUCUUGAUAAACAACCAGGGUGGGUAAAAGCCAACCAUGUUCUCAAGGUAUAAAAUGAAGUUGUCCUACUAAAAACAAAAAGAAAUUGAAAUGGUACAGAUGGCCCAAGAUUUUCUUUUUAAAACCCAUAAAAGUCUUAUAACAGUUUUUAUUUACAACCCCCUCCCCCAAACAGCAAUAAUGCUAAAUGUAGAAAUAAACUUGAUACAAAACACGUGCUUCUAUAUAUUUUCUUAAUGUUGCAUUUUAAGACAGGAAUAAACAUUUUCCUAGUCAAAAACCCCUUUGCCCUCUCUCACGGGAAACUAUGCCAGGGAGCCAUGUGGCUGGAUAACAGCUGGGUAGGGCACAGCCUGAUUUACGAGCAUACAUCUCUCAGGAAGAGUUAGGAAAAAAUGCUCAGACUGGGUUGGGCUGAGAAUGGUGAGGACUCAGCAAACAACUUCAGGAGCUUUAGAAACAGUGUACCUGCCUAGCUAACCCGUUUGAUGAUGGACUCUGGCAGGGGGUGAAGCAUUCAAUUUUACCAAAAGAAAAAAAACUAAAGCCUCAAGUGCCUAGCAGAAAAGUAGCAAAAUAACCUCUCAAACAUGCUUUGUUCACAAAACUAAAGCCUCAAGUUCCUAGCACAGAAGUAGCAAAAUAACCUCUCAAACAUGCUUUGUUUGCAAAACCAAAGCCUCAAGUUCCUAGCACAGAAGUGGCAAAAUACCCUCUCAAACAUGCUUUGUUCACAAGAAUGCAUUAAAGGCACAAAAUACGUGUCCAUCAUCAGGUUAGACUUUAAAAAUAAAAAGUGACAAUUCUGCCUCCAGGAAGACUACCUGUAGUCUAGAAUGCGGUAAGAUUUUCAACAGCCUAUAGCUACAGAGGGGCUUCUGAGUUCACCAGCAAUGGAAGUAGAAAAGUAUGGUUUCUAGACCUGGAGGAGAAGUGGGCUCUCAAGCUUUGCUAGCUCCCAUCUCCAUGGAAGAUGCAGCAUUUCAAUAGAAAUACAACAAAAAUAAACAAAUGGGACUCAAUCAAACACAGAAAAAACAAACAAAACGAAAAGACAACCUAUGAAAUGGGAGAAAAUAGUUGCAAAGGAUGCAGUUGACCAGGGCUUAAUCUCCAAAAUAUACAAACAACUCAUACAACUCAACAACAACAAAAAUAAACACAAUCAAAAAAUGGGCAGAAGACCUAAAUAGACAUUUCUCCAAAUAAGACAUAUGGAUGGCCAACAGGCACAUGAAAAAAAUGCUCAACAUCACUAUUAGAGAAAUGCAAAUCAAAACAACGAGGUACCACCUCACACCAGAACAGAAUGACUAUCAUUAGUAGUAAGUCUACAAAUAAAUUCUAGAGAGGGUGCAGAGAAAAGGGAACAAUCCUACACUGUCGGUGGGAAUGUAAAUUGGUACAACCAUUACGGAAAACAGUAUGGAGGUACUAAAUAUAACAGAAAACUAAAUAUGGUCCAGCAAUCCCACUCCUGGCCUAUAUCAGGACAAAAUUUUCAUUCAACAAGAUACAUGCAUCCCUAUGUUCUUUACAGCACUAUUCACAAUAGUCAAAGCAUGGAAACAACCUAAAUGUCCACUGACAGAUGAAUGAAUUAAGAACAUGUGGUAUAUAUACAGAAUGGAAUACUACUAAUGCCAUUUGCCAAAUGGAUGCAACUUGAGAUUCUCAUACUAGGUGAAGUAAGUCAGAAAGAGAAAUACAAAUACCAUAUGCUAUCACUUAUGUGUGGGAUACGGCACAAAUGAACCUAUCUACAGAACAGAAACAAAUUCAUGGACAUAGAGAAGAGAUUUGUGGUUGCCAUGGGGGAGAGAGGGCUUGGGGCUAGCAGAUACAGGCUAUUGCAUUCAGAGUGGAUAAGCAGAGAUACUGCUAUAUGGCAAAGGAAACUAUAUUCAAUCACAUUUGAUAGAAUAUGAUUGAAGAUAAUAUGAGAAAGAAUGUAUAUAUAUGUAGAGUGCAUAAGAAUGUGUAUAUAUGUAUAAUAUCUGAAAUUAAAUCAACUAUAAUAAAUUUUUUUUUUUUUUAAGAUGCAGCCUUUGUGUGAAGGGAAGACACUCUAGACACAGGUAGGAGCUGUGGGGCAGUGACAGCCACAGCCUGUGGGUUCUCAGGCCUCUACUAGGAAGUCGGGGAGAGAAGGUCAAAGGAGCCACAUUUUAACAGAAGGAAGAUGACGGUUGGGCAACUUCCACACAAUCACCACUUCUUUAUUUGAACUAGAGGGACAUUUGAGGGACCAAAGUACAAAAUAGCUAUUAAAAUACAUUCUGAUUGGCUUCAGAGGCAGAUGACCUAGGGAAAUAAUAUCUGUUACAUAUGAAUAUAGAGAAAUCUUUCAUAGCAAGUAACUACUAAUAAAAAGCAGUUCUCGAGCAACUACCACUAUGGUGGGCCCAGGUCCGGCGACAGAGAGUAAGAAGGCAUGGUCCUUGUGCACAUGUAGCCCAGAAGUCCAGGUAAGGAAGAUGUAUAAUCAAAGAGACACGCAAAUUAAGAAAAAAGCCUAGUUACAGGCUGAAGUGAUUCCUGCUAAAAGCCUACUAAUGUGAGCACAUAUAAUAAAGGAAAUUUCUCUGUGCUGGUGGGUAGAGUUUUCCGAUUUGAAAAUCUUUUACAGCAACAGAACAGUAUGUAAUGCAACUCAACUAUUAACAUUGAAAGCUACCUAAGAAAUCUACCUACUAUAGUAGAUGACCUAGAGGUUUCUACAAAUAUGGGAGAAAUGCACUCUCCAUAGAUUUACUGAGACGAGCACUAAGUAGACCAGCCUCUCACAAGCAACAGUUGAUAAAUCUUAUUGCAGUUUUAUAUAGUACAUGUUGAUAUGAAACCAAGAUUUCUUAGCUAUUUCCAGUUGUAAUACUCAGCUGUGGCAUGGGGUACUUUAUUAUUUAUCAGUUCUCACAAAUCUCCAAUGAGUGAAGAUAAUGCUCUUAAAUAAAUGCCCAUUGAGAGAAAUUUUACAUGUCAUAGCACACGACAGCUCAAAGAGGAGGGCUACAUAUUAACAAGGGAGUAAAACUUUCCAUAAGGUAAAACUACAUUAAAAAAUGAAAAAUAAAAACCUU